AGUGAACGCUGGCGGUAGGCCUAACACAUGCAAGUCGAACGGCAGCACAGAGGAGCUUGCUCCUUGGGUGGCGAGUGGCGGACGGGUGAGGAAUACAUCGGAAUCUACUCUGUCGUGGGGGAUAACGUAGGGAAACUUACGCUAAUACCGCAUACGACCUACGGGUGAAAGCAGGGGACCUUCGGGCCUUGCGCGAUUGAAUGAGCCGAUGUCGGAUUAGCUAGUUGGCGGGGUAAAGGCCCACCAAGGCGACGAUCCGUAGCUGGUCUGAGGGGAUGAUCAGCCACAAUGGAACUGAGACACGGUUCAGACUCCUACGGGGGGCAGCAGUGGGGAAUAUUGGACGAUGGGCGGAAGCCUGAUCCAGCCAUACCGGGUGGGUGAAAAAGGCCUUCGGGUUGUAAAGCCCUUUUGUUGGGAAAAAAAUCCAGCUGGCUAAUACCCGGUUGGGAUGACGGUACCCAAAGAAUAAGCACCGGCUAACUUCGUGCCAGCCGCCGCCGUAA
rnacentral:rRNA from 1 species